CCNUGCAGUCUACUANUCCUACGGGAGGCAGCANUCGAGAAUCAUUCACAAUGGAGGCAACUCUGAUGGUGCAACGCCGCGUGGAGGAUGACGGUCCUAGGAUUGUAAACUCCUGUCAUUGGGGAGUAAGACUUAAGCGUUAAGAGCGUUUAAGUUUGAUAGUACCCAAAGAGGAAGGGACGGCUAACUUCGUGCCAUCAGCCGCGGUAAUACGAAGGUCCCAAGCGUUGUUCGGAAUCACUGGGCGUAAAGCGUGUGUAGGCUGCGCGGAAAGUCAAAUGUGAAAGCCCGGGGCUCAACCUCGGAACUGCAUUCGAUACUCCCGUGCUAGAGUAAUGGAGAGGUAAGUGGAAUUCCUGGUGUAGCAGUGAAAUGCGUGGAUAUCAGGAGGAACAUCAAUGGCGAAGGCAUCUUACUGGACAUUUACUGACGCUCAGACACGAAGGCUAGGGUAGCGAAAGGGAUUAGAUACCCCUGUAGUCCUAGCAGUAAACGGUGCUCGCUUGGUGUGGGAGGAUUCGACCCCUUCUGUGCCGGAGCUAACGCGUUAAGCGAGCCGCCUGGGAAGUACGGUCGCAAGACUAAAACUCAAAUGAAUUGACGG
rnacentral:rRNA from 1 species